CCUACGGGUGGCAGCAGUGGGGAAUAUUGGGCAAUGGAGGCAACUCUGACCCAGCAACGCCGCGUGAAGGAAGAAGGCCUUAGGGUUGUAAACUUAUGUUGUAAAGGAAGAAAAGGAUGACGGUACUUUACAAGAAAGCCCCGGCUAACUAUGUGCCAGCAGCCGCGGUAAGACAUAGGGGGCAAGCGUUGUUCGGAAUUACUGGGGGUACAGGUAGCGUAGGCGGGAGAUUAAGUUCAGAGGGAAAGCGUUGGGCUCAACCCACGUAAUGCUUUUAAUACUGGUUUUCUAGAGUGUGGGAGAGGUAAGUGGAAUUCCUAGUGUAGCGGUGGAAUGCGUAGAUAUUAGGAGGAACAUCAGUGGCGAAGGCGGCUUACUGGACCAUAACUGACGCUGAGGCUCGAAAGCGUGGGGAGCGAACAGGAUUAGAUACCCCUGUAGUC
rnacentral:rRNA from 1 species